GAUGAACGCUGGCGGCGUGCCUAACACAUGCAAGUCGAACGGACAUUUUUUGGAAAGUUCUUCGGAACUGGAAUCUAAAUGUUAGUGGCGGACGGGUGAGUAACGCGUGAGCAAUCUGCCUUUCAGAGGGGGAUAACAGCCGGAAACGGCUGCUAAUACCGCAUAAUGCAUCGAAUUCGCAUGUUUCUGAUGCCAAAGAUUUUAUCGCUGAAAGAUGAGCUCGCGUCUGAUUAGCUAGUUGGCGGGGUAACGGCCCACCAAGGCGACGAUCAGUAGCCGGACUGAGAGGUUGAACGGCCACAUUGGGACUGAGACACGGCCCAGACUCCUACGGGAGGCAGCAGUGGGGAAUAUUGCGCAAUGGGGGCAACCCUGACGCAGCAACGCCGCGUGAUUGAUGAAGGUCUUCGGAUUGUAAAAAUCUUUAAUCAGGGACGAAUAAAAUGACGGUACCUGAAGAAUAAGCUCCGGCUAACUACGUGCCAGCAGCCGCGGUAAUACGUAGGGAGCAAGCGUUAUCCGGAUUUACUGGGUGUAAAGGGCGUGUAGGCGGGCUUGCAAGUUGGAAGUGAAAUCUCGGGGCUUAACCCCGAAACUGCUUUCAAAACUGCGAGUCUUGAGUGAUGGAGAGGCAGGCGGAAUUCCCAGUGUAGCGGUGAAAUGCGUAGAUAUUGGGAGGAACACCAGUGGCGAAGGCGGCCUGCUGGACAUUAACUGACGCUGAGGCGCGAAAGCGUGGGGAGCAAACAGG
rnacentral:rRNA from 1 species